rnacentral:rRNA from 1 species
GACGAACCGUGCGAACGUUAUUCGGAAUCACUGGGCUUAAAGGGCGCGUAGGCGGGCGGCCGAGUCCGGGGUGAAAGCCCCCAGCUCAACUGGGGAAGUGCCUCGGAUACCGGCCGUCUCGAGGGAGAUAGGGGCGUGCGGAACUUCCGGUGGAGCGGUGAAAUGCGUAGAUAUCGGAAGGAACACCGGUGGCGAAGGCAGGUCUCUGGGCAUUAACUGACGCUGAGGAGCGGAAAGCAUAGGGAGCGAACAGGG